rnacentral:rRNA from 1 species
AUUGAACGCUGGCGGCAGGCCUAACACAUGCAAGUCGAACGAAUGGCGGACGGGUGAGUAAUGUCUGGGAAACUGCCUGAUGGAGGGGGAUAACUACUGGACACGGUAGCUAAUACAGCAUACAGUCGAAUGUGCCAAGAUGGGAUUAGCUAGUAGGUGAGGUAAAGGCUCACCUAGACGACGAUCACUAGCUGGUCUGAGAGGAGGACCAGCCACACUGGAACUGAGACACGGUCCAUACUCCUACGGGAGGCAGCAGUGGGGAAUAUUGCACAAUGGGAGCAAGCCUGAUGCAGCCAUGGCGCGUGUAUGAAGAAGGCCUUCGGUUUGUAAAGUACUUUCAGCGGGGAGGCGUUACCCGCAGAAGAAGCACCGGCUAACUCCGUGCCAGCAGCCGCGGUAAUUC